AGCAGACAUUAAUCCGAUACUCACUCACAACUGUAUAAUCACAGAUUGGGAUCCAUACGAUGAGGGGAAAACAUAGGAAGGCUUGAGAGACCUGACUGAAGCUGAAGAAGUUCUGCGAUGUGAACCAUGACCAGGAAUCCACCGGGAACCGAGUGAGCCAGGACAGAAUGUGCCGUGGUCCCGGGAUGGGACGAAGCACAGCACGUGUGAGCACCUGAAGGAAGACUGGUGUGUCCAGGGCACAGGAGGGGAGGAGGACAUGUCCCUCGAGUUUGGCCAGGGAUAUCUCCAUUGCCUACUGAAGAAAAAUCCUGCAAUGACUGACUUGCCACACCACGGCUAGCUGACACGUGUUUUCUCCAGGUGUAAGGUUGUGGCCAUACGACACUUGGGACAGCGUGGUUACACAAAGAAGAUAACAAAUUCAAUGAAGAAACUCAGA